ensembl:rRNA 5S_rRNA 5S ribosomal RNA
GACGAGACACACCUGGGAUCAAUGGAAAUAAACGGUGAACACUAAAGUUCCUGAAGCUAAGCAGGGCUGAGCCUGGUCAGUACCUGGAUGGGAGACCUCCUGGGAAAACUAGGUUUCGGCU